GUACCAGAAAAGGCAUGGUGCUAGGAAAGAAUGAAAUGAUGAGGAAGAAACAUGGCAACUAUCACGGUUUUACACCAUGAUAGAGGAGUUAAUUCAGAAGCUUAGCAAAGAUGAAUUACCGAAGCAUGAGUAUGCUUGCAUGAAUGACCCUGUUCCUACCAUCCAUGGAUUCUCACAGAGUUCAUCAUUUUGGACUGGUCAACCUCAGUCAGCUCAUUCCAUGAGGUCAAGGCGGACUGCUGCUACUUGGGUUAGUCCAUGGAAUUCUGAUGAUGGGUAUUCUAAGUAUGACAUGAAUGGCUAGUCUUGUUCUCAUAAGUUAUUGAAUUUUUCUGAAUAACUUGUUGAGUGAUGCUCAUUCACCACUGGAAUAUUUCAAGUCGACUGCUAUUAUCUUAUAUGUUGGAUAGUGUGCAAUUGCAUGCCUAUUCUAUGGCCAAAAUUCCAAAUUAGUAUAAAAAUCUUCUUCUUUUCUAUUGGAUGGUAUCUUGUAUAUAUAUAAAAACUGACACACUGGGCCUUUUCAGUGAUUCAGUACUGAGGCAUGCAUCAAGUGAUCUCAGGAAGAUGGGUCAAUGAAUUUUUUGUCUUUAUUAUUGGUAGAGCCACUCAAUCUGAGUUGUGACCAGUGCACAAGCUGUCAGAGAAACUAAAGAGGAAAAUUACUCUUGGCUCAACUAGGUUGUGGAGGCAGUAUAAGAAGAAAAGAAGCCAAUAUAGGUCAUGAAUGCAGUUUUUAAGGAUUCUCUUGUGUGGAACAAGUGUCAAGACAUAAGCCAUGAUCAAACACAUAAGGAUGUGUGCCAACUUCCAAGAAUGUGCAAGUUUAUCAACAAAUUGAAAGGGCACAAAUGCAGUUAUAAACUCGUGUUCCAGCUUAUGCAGAGUUUUUGAGAGCAUCAUUUGACAUGACUUACCGCAUGGGUGUGUGCCCAACAAUGUGGUCUCAAUGGAAGAGAAGGAAUUCGGGAUCAAUGCAGUAGUACUGUAGCAAUUACUGAAGCAGAGCAGUGUUCAUUAGUACUAUAACAGUUAGUAUUCACAAAACGCGAAAUUCAGAAAACCUGAGAGUCCACACACCCGUGUGGAAAAUCCAUAAGGGCGUGUGAAAUCCCGAUUUUAGCAUUAUAAAUACCGCCUCGAAGAGUUAUUUUAAAAGUCUUUUUCCUAUCUCUUGGAGAGACCGCAGCUAGGGUUUGGAGGAGGUUUUCACCAAGUUUUGGGGCGUUUCCGCCAGGAUCAACAUUGAUUUCCUUCGAAGGAGAGUUAUUGGGGUUUUGGCGAGGUGUGCCCUAGGCUUGACGGAGGAGUCUUUGG